AUUGUAGUCAUAUGCUUGUCUCAAAGAUUAAGCCAUGCAUGUCUAAGUACAAACUUUUACACAGUGAAACUGCGAAUGGCUCAUUAGAUCAGUUAUGGUUCCUUAGAUCGUACAAUCCUACUUGGAUAACUGUGGUAAUUCUAGAGCUAAUACAUGAAAGCACGCUCCGACUCUCUGGGGAAGAGCGUUUUUAUUACGACAAAACCAAUCGGCCCUCGGGUCGGCCCUUUGAUGACUCUGAAUAACUUUGUUCUGAUCGCAGGGCCUUGAGCCGGCGACGUAUCUUUCAAAUGUCUGCCCUAUCAAGUUUCGAUGUUAGUUGACAUGACUAUCAUGCUUUCAACGGGUAACGGGGAAUAAU
rnacentral:rRNA from 1 species